rnacentral:rRNA from 1 species
CCGUAACUAUAACGGUCCUAAGGUAGCGAAAUUCCUUGUCGGGUAAGUUCCGACCUGCACGAAUGGCGUAAUGAUGGCCAGGCUGUCUCCACCCGAGACUCAGUGAAAUUGAACUCGCUGUGAAGAUGCAGUGUACCCGCGGCAAGACGGAAAGACCCCGUGAACCUUUACUAUAGCUUGACACUGAACAUUGAGCCUUGAUGUGUAGGAUAGGUGGGAGGCUUAGAAGUGUGGACGCCAGUCUGCAUGGAGCCGACCUUGAAAUACCACCCUUUAAUGUUUGAUGUUCUAACGUUGACCCGUAAUCCGGGUUGCGGACAGUGUCUGGUGGGUAGUUUGACUGGGGCGGUCUCCUCCUAAAGAGUAACGGAGGAGCACGAAGGUUGGCUAAUCCUGGUCGGACAUCAGGAGGUUAGUGCAAUGGCAUAAGCCAGCUUGACUGCGAGCGUGACGGCGCGAGCAGGUGCGAAAGCAGGUCAUAGUGAUCCGGUGGUUCUGAAUGGAAGGGCCAUCGCUCAACGGAUAAAAGGUACUCCGGGGAUAACAGGCUGAUACCGCCCAAGAGUUCAUAUCGACGGCGGUGUUUGGCACCUCGAUGUCGGCUCAUCACAUCCUGGGGCUGAAGUAGGUCCCAAGGGUAUGGCUGUUCGCCAUUUAAAGUGGUACGCGAGCUGGGUUUAGAACGUCGUGAGACAGUUCGGUCCCUAUCUGCCGUGGGCGCUGGAGAACUGAGGGGGGCUGCUCCUAGUACGAGAGGACCGGAGUGGACGCAUCACUGGUGUUCGGGUUGUCAUGCCAAUGGCACUGCCCGGUAGCUAAAUGCGGAAGAGAUAAGUGCUGAAAGCAUCUAAGCACGAAACUUGCCCCGAGAUGAGUUCUCCCUGACUCCUUGAGAGUCCUGAAGGAACGUUGAAGACGACGACGUUGAUAGGCCGGGUGUGUAAGCGCAGCGAUGCGUUGAGCUAACCGGUACUAAUGAACCGUGAGG